rnacentral:rRNA from 1 species
ACGGGUGAGUAACACGUAGGCAACCUGCCCUCAAGCUUGGGACAACUACCGGAAACGGUAGCUAAUACCGAAUACUUGUUUUCUUCGCCUGAAGGAAACUGGAAAGACGGAGCAAUCUGUCACUUGGGGAUGGGCCUGCGGCGCAUUAGCUAGUUGGUGAGGUAACGGCUCACCAAGGCGACGAUGCGUAGCCGACCUGAGAGGGUGAUCGGCCACACUGGGACUGAGACACGGCCCAGACUCCUACGGGAGGCAGCAGUAGGGAAUCUUCCGCAAUGGGCGAAAGCCUGACGGAGCAAUGCCGCGUGAGUGAUGAAGGUUUUCGGAUCGUAAAGCUCUGUUGCCAGGGAAGAACGCUUGGGAGAGUAACUGCUCCCAAGGUGACGGUACCUGAGAAGAAAGCCCCGGCUAACUACGUGCCAGCAGCCGCGGUAAUACGUAGGGGGCAAGCGUUGUCCGGAAUUAUUGGGCGUAAAGCGCGCGCAGGCGGUCAUGUAAGUCUGGUGUUUAAUCCCGGGGCUCAACCCCGGAUCGCACUGGAAACUGCGUGACUUGAGUGCAGAAGAGGAGAGUGGAA